GUGAACGCUGGCGGUAGGCCUAACACCUGCAAGUCGAACGGCAGCACAGUAAGAGCUUGCUCUUACGGGUGGCGAGUGGCGGACGGGUGAGGAAUACAUCGGAAUCUACUUUUUCGUGGGGGAUAACGUAGGGAAACUUACGCUAAUACCGCAUACGACCUACGGGUGAAAGCAGGGGAUCUUCGGACCUUGCGCGAUUGAAUGAGCCGAUGUCGGAUUAGCUAGUUGGCGGGGUAAAGGCCCACCAAGGCGACGAUCCGUAGCUGGUCUGAGAGGAUGAGCAGCCACACUGGAACUGAGACACGGUCCAGACUCCGACGGGAGGCAGCAGUGGGGAAUAUUGGACAAUGGGCGCAAGCCUGAUCCAGCCAUACCGCGUGGGUGAAGAAGGCCUUCGGGUUGUAAAGCCCUUUUGUUGGGAAAGAAAAGCAGCAGGUUAAGACCCCGCUGUUCUGACGGUACCCAAAGAAUAAGCACCGGCUAACUUCGU
rnacentral:rRNA from 1 species